rnacentral:lncRNA from 1 species
ACGGUAAAACGAAGUAAAGCUCUCCAGGCCGGAGAUCCUCGCUGCCACCGACUGCUAGAACUGCGUCGUCGAAGUCCAUAUCGUCUGAGUUACAAACAAAACUCGUGGGAUUCUUCUGAAGAAUCUGCCACACUUUUACAGGUGACGUAAACUCUUGUAACGUUCCGUCUUGUAAUAUUAGCUUCGCUGUGUCUGUUCUCCUAGAUUCACUUGAACCGCAAGCUCCCAUUUUCGGGUAUGUUUGUCUCGUGAGGUUAAGAAGGUUUGUAGAGAGAGAGAGAGAGAGAGCUGUGUUUUGAAGGAGAUAACAAGCAUCGUGGGGCUUUAUAUAGACAAUGAGUUAGCGAAAUGGAACCUCGUGAUUCGGAAACUUCAAGUAACUUUGGUUUUUGUCGGUUAGUGUUUCAAAAUCAGACAGAACGGCUCACGUAAUCUUGUUGUCGAAAUGAAUUUACAACAUUACCCCUCAUAUGUGACAUAGGAAACGUUGUGUUGAGACGUAAUUAAGAGAAGAAAAUAAUGGUAUUUUGGGAAAAUAGACAAAACAUUGGAGUGUAGACAAAAUCAGAGCAAGGAGACAAGGCUUAGGUGGUCGGACGUUUAUUCUCCGACGGAUGAGGUGCAAGGAAGCUCGGUUUAUGGAGCAUCACGUGAAGGCAACAUGGACUUAAGCAUGGGUCCAACUGGGUCGGGUCGGGUCUGGUCCCAUUUAGAUUCAUUAGUUAACGAGGGAUCGGGUCAUUUUACUCUAUGUACGUGCAUUACAUUAACUGUUUUAUUUAAUUUUGGUUUGAACGUGCAUCAAUAAUGUAAUCCAACCCGAAAUCUUUUUUCUUUUUCCAACUUGAAGUUAUUGAAUGUCUAUCUAUACAAUAUUAAGGUCCACAACGCUGUAUCUAAUUUUUUGUUGUUAUAAACUAUAACGCAAGUACAAUUUUAAGAUAUAAAUAUUUUGAUCAGGAUCGCUUGUGUUGAGGAAUAUCGCUUUCCGUUGGACGUAACAAAAAGAAUUGUUUUGUAGUAUCUAAAGUAGGAUAGUUGUGUAACCAAACACAAUAUAAAAAUUCACAGGCUUCAAUUAUAUGAAGUUAUGAACCUCUAUUAUUCCUUUUUAAUGUUUGCUAAGAUGAACCUCUAUUAUUUCCUACCACUUUGUAUACAUUUCUCCCCCAAAAUGAAGUAUAUUUUAAGUUAAACUAAUUAACAUCAUUUAAAAAAAAUUAAAGACUUUGAUCUCUUGUCUUGGAUUAGGAAUUAGGAUCACCCACGUAUCCGCCGAACUGUAUUUCUUAGUGCGUCUAAUAAUUGAAAUAUAAUAAAAGCGAUUUUGUUUGAUUUCUCCAAGCUUUUUUGGACAUGAUGAAGAACUAGUCCCCAUUCAAAAAUAAAAUAAAAAACAUUAAAACAAUUUGUUGAAUAAAUUAUUAAAUGGAACAGAAUCUGGCUGACCAUUACUGUGGCCUUAUAUAAGAAUCACGACAAGGUAUAAUUUAAAUUCAAAAUCGACGUUCGAUAAACUGGCAUAUAUCUUUCCUCUAAGAUUUUAAUAAUAGAUCAUCAUGCAUAUUUUACAUAGUAGAAAUAUGGGAAUAAAUGUAGAUGAUAUAGUAGUUUAAACUUCUUCUUUUUUUUUGUCAGCAAAAAAGAUAUUGAUGAUGGAUACGCUCGUGUUAAUACUUAUCCGGCUCCUAUAUAAAAAAAAAUUGAAGGAGUAGUUAACUAUUUAUUUAUUAUUACUAUAUAGUAAUAUACAUUAUUAACUUUUAUAUUCGUAGAUAAUGCGUCGUUCAGGUUUUUCAAAAAAAAAUUUCGUAGAUAAUGUAUGACAAAUGCUUGUUAGUUUUAUGUUUUUCUUCGGAACGGUUCAACAAGGGUUUCUGAACUCUCAUUUAUCUUCACAACGGAUUCACAAACGUCUUCCGAAUUCUCUUGCUAUCAUCUCAUACCAUUGUGAGCAAGAGCAGGGGCAGGCACAGGUGGACCAUGGAUGUGGCUGGCAUAUGCCGUGGGAUUCUUCUGAAGAAUCUGCCACACUUUUACAGGUGACGUAAACUCUUGUAACGUUCCGUCUUGUAAUAUUAGCUUCGCUGUGUCUGUUCUCCUAGAUUCACUUGAACCGCAAGCUCCCAUUUUCGGGUAUGUUUGUCUCGUGAGGUUAAGAAGGUUUGUAGAGAGAGAGAGAGAGAGAGC